CUUAACCUCUUCGACAGCAGAAACCACUAUAUCAUACAAAAAAUUAGACACAGAAAACAGUAUGAUUCUCAGAAGUCGGUUUGAGACGUAUCUCCGUCUCCCACAAAGGGAGAUAUCGCGCUACAGCUAUGCGACCAAACGAAAGCAAACUCGACUAAGCCAAGAAAAAGAGAAAGAUCAUGGGGUCCUUUGAUUGUCGUCGGUGGCAGGGUGCACCCGUGGAGAUACAAAUGACAAUGAUACUACUGUAACCGAGCUACUGCGUUCACGGUUAUCAAGCGUUGUGAUCGUCGGGCUACUAGAGGCCUUCUUUUUUCGGCCGACAGUUGGCUAACUCCCACGCGAAAAAAAGCGUAGGCAGUGUAGCAUUUUUAUUAGGGCAAUUCGCCGGGUGCCCACGAGCGCUCGUUGACGUUGCGAUCAUACGUUUCUUUUAAAAUUUUUUUUUCGAGUUGCCACCACUUAGCUCGUUUGGUUAUCAUUGAAGUGAUUUUACUUUGUUCUUGCAUUAUUCUACUAUGCUAUACAAGUAUCCACAUGUAGUAGGUCUAUCUCAAUAUCAAGAUUAUUGUCAACCAUACUCAGUAUCGAAUGGUAGUCAUGAUUUUCGAUGCAACUAUACUGAAGACGCGUAAAUGCAACUUGUGGUCUUUGGGAAGCGUUGUAGUAUUGCACACUGAGAGAUGUCCUCAGGAUAAACAAGCAGGCUUUGUUCUACGCUUAUGAAUAAAACAUUCGAUAGUGCAUCUCCCGGAGCUAUACCGUACGUAUACCACGCUGCUGCAAUCCAUUACUUUUACUCAAGUCCAAGCCCUUUUCCAUCAUCUCCUGUGACAUUUCUCUAGCCUUCCCGUUUGCAUCCAUUUUUAUUUUCUCGCUAUCGCUUAUCUUAUUUUCAAACUAACUAUCGCACAAAAUAUUUUCUCAUUAAAUUAGAAUUAUCUCCAUAAAUUGAAUAUUUUUUCAUAAAUGUAUUUAUCUCUUUUUCAGUUGAUUAUUAUUUUUCACUCAUUUAAGCAUGAUAUUCGAAUUGAAAUCAAUAUCAAUAACUAAGUAACUAACGUUCUACCACUAGAAGAAAGAAACAAAAUCAACUUUCGAAUUGACCAUAAGAAACAAGGUGUACAAGGCGAAACUCGUGCGGCGGAAGCUUUUAACGCCAUACUUUCCUUUCAGGAAAACGGGAACGAGGAGCCUCUGUGGAAAAAAGCAUCAACGAAGAAGGAGAUGGUACGAUACGGAGUCUGGAGGAACACGGUCGACUUCGUGAAGUUAGAAGAGAGAGCGUGGAGAGUGUCUCAAUGUCUCCCAGAAGACUGAACCUAAGCAAUUUGUGCUUUCAUUCGCACAAAGCUCGAGCGCCGAGGAAAAUGCCGGCGUAAAAGAGAAGUUAAAACUAUGCCGUCGUUCUUAUUACUGCCUGGAGCCACCCUGACCUAUCCUGACUCCACCCCUCCCUUACUCGUUUCUUCUUCCUUCCACUCGAGGAAGCUUCCCCCUUUUUUCUCCCCCUCUUUGUUGGCUCCAUCCAUGGCUUCUUCCCUUUUAGUUGUAUCUCGCUUGAAUUAACGGCGCGAGUAACUUUCUUUCCGCUUACUUCGGGCUUGAUUAAAUAAUUUAUAAGCCAACACAGUGGAAUGUCGCGUUACGGAGGGGUGGAUGCUUCUUUUGCCUCGCCUUUGCUGGAUUCUCUCUGUGAUCGUGGAUUGGGGUGGAUUGGAGUUUGCUGUUUUGCGACACGAUGUUUUUCGAGGGAGCGGUGGAAUGGAAACUUUAAAAUUAAGGGAUGGUGUUAGGAUUGUAUUGGUACUUUCAAUUCGUAUUUUUUCUUUCAAUCUUUCGAUAAAGAUUAUUUUGGAACAAAAAUGUAGAAAAACGAUAGAUUAUGACGUUAUUUUUGAUGCAUUGUAUAAAAUUAUCCAAAAAAUGUGAUACAAUUAUUAAAGGAAGAAGCAAAAAUAAAAAUGGAAUGAUCUCAAAAAUCUGUAAACGAUGUUCAAUAUUAUGUGUUGUAAUAUGAGAAACUUCUCGUACACAGGUUUAACGUUGGCAACGAGGAAUCAGGUAUUCCAAGCCGGGAGCAGGGAAUGGAUUACACGUGGAAAAUUAUUCUGGCAAGCGGCAUGUUUCAAACAAUGCGGUCGGUUCCUCGGAACACGACCCGGCGAUAAGCGGCUGCAACGUCGAAAAUCGUAGAUACAAUAACGUAAAUAAUCGUUAGGUAAACAAUAGCGUAGUUGUUGUUCGUUCCUGCAUUGUUUACGCGGCUUGUCAACAUUAUUACAUUUUCGAAAUAAAGCUUUCCAAUGCUUUAAAACGAAACACAAGCAGAAUGAAAUCACGACUCAAAGCGACCACGAAAACCUGAAGUUAUUCGAAGGGAGCAUUCUUAUGACUAACACUGGAAUAUGUCGAAUUUCUCGUGGCGGAGAGCAAAGAAAAAUCAAGGGGGUCGCGAGAAGCACUUUGAUUAAAAUAUGUCGCGCGGUUUUAUUCGCGGCCCAGUUUCCCCCUUAAAACGCAGAAGAGGAUGAAACUUUUUGUUCAGAAUGGAAUUUUGGAAUUGCGAAUGACAAGCGAGAAGCCGCGAGGGUUGUUGCGGCUGACCUAUCUUUUGAUGUUCGCCUUUUGGAGGAAGAAAUCUCUGUUUAUUACAAAAUUGAGAUUCUUUCAAAUGAUAUUGUCAAAGAUAUUUUCAAUGUUUGAGGAUACUGAUAAUUUUAUUGAUCAGUAAGGUUUCUUUUAUAUAACAUAUUCAUAGGAAAUGAUGGUUGGAAUCGUGAUGGCAAUAUCGCGAAACACGUGAGAAUCUUUUCUAUAGGCUAACGACAAAGGCUAACGUAACAGGCGAAUGUAAUUACAGUUUCCUCGUUAUUUUCCGUCACGAAUGCGGAGCAGAAAACUCGGUGAAACUUAUCUUGCGUAACGAUUGUUCAUGAUUCGUAACGAAACACGCGUGGCACGUUCAGGGAAGUAUCGAUCACAAUUCGUGUGAAUCUGAAAGCAAAAAUGCCGAAGAAUUAUGAUUAAUUUUUUACAUUUAUAUAAUUUUUGUAUAAAUAUAUUUUUGCACAAAGAUAGAAAGAUAUUAAAAUAUUGUUAAAAUAUUCGAUAAUACCGAUUAAAAGUGCAAGUGUUCAAAUGUACACGCAUCUUCAUAACAGAUUGUUUUCAUUAACUAUGUUCCCUUGGCAUGUCUAAACGUUGAAUCACAUCGAUCAAAUAGGGUUCACGGUGUGACUGCGACACGUCGAGUUGACAAAGAAUGAUCGUGCGUCGAGCCACGUGUGUUUCUUAUACCAUGAUUGCUGGUUACUUUACAUUUGUCUACGUGAUUUUACUUGCUAUGCGUCACAUUCGUGCAGUCCAUCAAUAAACUUGUUUAUAUGGAUCAUAUAUUUUAUUUUUUCUUUGUUUGUAGUUUGUAUAAAGAUUAAACUAUCACCAAAAACAUUAUAUACUUUA